UACGUAGGGGGCAAGCGUUGUCCGGAAUCAUUGGGCGUAAAGCGCGUGUAGGCGGUUCGGUAAGUCUGCUGUGAAAGUCCAGGGCUCAACCCUGGGAUGCCGGUGGAUACUGUCGGGCUAGAGUGCGGAAGAGGCGAGUGGAAUUCCCGGUGUAGCGGUGAAAUGCGCAGAUAUCGGGAAGAACACCAAUUGCGAAGGCAGCUCGCUGGGACGUAACUGACGCUGAGACGCGAAAGCGUGGGGAGCAAACAGG
rnacentral:rRNA from 1 species